CUUCGAUUCCAACAGGUAAGUUAUUCUCUGGUAUGAAUUCACCUCUUUCGAGCGCGUAACUUUUAUGUUCAUCAUUAGCAAAAGUAUAAUCUAAAGAGGACCAACUGUACAACUCGAAUUUUUACACCAGCUGUUGACCUGGCGCAACCUCAUUAUGACUGAGGUAGUUAGUAAGGGAGCAAGGUGUAUGUUAUUGAGAAAGCUUCCGUAUGGUCACCUGACUGAGAACCAACAGCUAACAAUGCAGCUGAACAUCAGCGCUAAGACGGCAACUAAAUGAUUUACAUCACGUUGCUAUUAUAAAAUUAAAAAGCUUUAAAAAAUCGUGAUAUGUGAACUAAAAUGUGUCUAUUAUGGUAUGAUAGAUCUUAUCGUGCAUUAUGCAUAUUAUUGAAAAUAUCCAAUAAAAUAGAAAUCACCAAAAUUGUAACUACAGAUAAUUUAUUUCGCGGUAAGCUACAAUAAAAUGUUUAAUUUUUAGACUUAUUCAAUAAUAUAUAAUGUUCACAGUAA